UACGUAGGGUGCGAGCGUUAAUCGGAAUUACUGGGCGUAAAGCGUGCGCAGGUGGUGAUGUAAGACCGAUGUGAAAUCCCCGGGCUUAACCUGGGAACUGCAUUGGUGACUGCAUCGCUCGAGUAUGGCAGAGGGGGGUAGAAUUCCACGUGUAGCAGUGAAAUGCGUAGAGAUGUGGAGGAAUACCGAUGGCGAAGGCAGCCCCCUGGGUCAAUACUGACGCUCAUGCACGAAAGCGUGGGGAGCAAACAGG
rnacentral:rRNA from 1 species